AACGAACGCUGGCGGCAUGCCUAACACAUGCAAGUCGAACGAGACCUUCGGGUCUAGUGGCGCACGGGUGCGUAACGCGUGGGAACCUGCCCUUAGGUUCGGAAUAACUCCCCGAAAGGGGUGCUAAUACAGGAUAAUGUCUUCGGACCAAAGAUUUAUCGCCUUUGGAUGGGCCCGCGUUGGAUUAGCUAGUUGGUAGGGUACAAGCCUACCAAGGCGACGUUCCAUAGCUGGUCUGAGAGGAUGAUCAGCCACACUGGGACUGAGACACGGCCCAGACUCCUACGGGAGGCAGCAGUGGGGAAUAUUGGACAAUGAGCGAAAGCCUGAUCCAGCAAUGCCGCGUAAGUGAGGAAGGCCUUAGGGUUGUAAAGCUCUUUUACCCGGGAUGAUAAUGACAGUACCGGGAGAAUAAGCUCCGGCUAACUCCGUG
rnacentral:rRNA from 1 species